GCAAACUUGGUCAUUUAGAGGAAGUAAAAGUCGUAACAAGGUUUCCGUAGGUGAACCUGCGGAAGGAUCAUUAAAAAAGAUCGAACCAAAAAACAUAUGGACGAUCAAAAUCCAUAUCCACCUUGUGUGCACUCAUUGACCGUUCGCUUUGGCAGGAGUUUGGUCUUUUUGAUCCCGGUUCUGGGAUCUCGAAGCGCCGCGAAGGGGGUGUUUGGGAGGACCCCUCCCACACCCUCGGCCUGCCAGAGUUUUUUUUCAAGAUCCACACUUUUUUAAACCUUUUGGACUGAACCCUCGUCUCGAUUCUUUGUGUAAUCGGUCGAAUCUAAUACAACUUUCAACAACGGAUCUCUUGGCUCUCGCAUCGAUGAAGAACGCAGC
rnacentral:misc_RNA from 1 species